AGAAGCCCCAGGAGAAAGUCCAGAGUCACCCGAGGGUGCGGCCCCAGGGAGCUUCACGCAGCCAGCUCUGCAGCCAGCACCUAAGGAGGUGCCCGCGGGAGGAGGAGGGGGCGUGUGGGAUGCUCUGGCCGGGUGGGCUGCCUGGGAAGGGGUGGCUGACCGAGUUUGUCACUGAUGGAGACAUGGAAGUGUCCGCCAUGCACAGAUGGAGACUUGGCCAUCACUCCAUAGGGGAACACUUGAGCAGCAGGGACGACGGCCCCAGGCUGUGGAGUGGCUUCCCUGCCUUGCCGCCUGCUCCCUGUGCCCUUGCGGCUCCCACUGAGUGGGUAGAGACCGCUCGCCAGCCUUGCAGUCUAGGCUGGCCUUGGCUUGGACCCUUGGGAGACCUUCCAGCUUCCACUCUGUCUUGGAAGGAACCCUGACAGCCCUCUGAGAACAAGCCCGGGCCAGACUGCUGGGGGAUGUGUUGUCAUCGGGCAGCCAACCUCCAGCCUCCAGAACAGGCCCAUCGGAGAUCAGCACAGCCUGGAUCAGGCCAGCAGCACUGCCUGGGUGGCCCCGGCUCGUGAGCAAGUGUAGAUGCUUAUUGCUUUUGUCCACCGCGUCUCCAGGCUGCUGGGUUUGCAGCAGCAGCUGACCCAUCCACCACGGCCACCACGAGAGGUCACACAGGUACCACUUGAAGCUGCGACACUUCAGCCUCUGACGCAGGGCCAGCCUCUCAGACACGUCCCCGAAGUCCACCCCUGGGUUCUGCAAGGCCAGAAGUAGGUGAGAGGAGGGUCUGAGGCAGCUGCUCCUGAUGGGAAGGACCCUGCCAGAGGCCAGCCCCGGCCUGGACAGACGGCCCCUGCUGCAGCCGGCUCGUCCACACCCACCCGGGCCCAGGAACCUCCUGCCUGAGAAGACGGCCCUGCUCACCUGGCCUUACUGCACGGCAUCAGCCUGACCUCUGGAGGGUGGAGACUGAGGUCAGCCAUAUCCAGAGACCAGCCUGGCCUGAGUAGGACAGAAAGGCCGAGGCAGGGAGUGUUCACACACUCUGCUCGAUUCGGGCUGGGACGUGGGUCCUCCCCUGCCUUCAGGCUUGGAGCUCACGCCACCGGCUCUCCUGGGCGCCUGCCAGCCGACGGCCAAUCUCGGUACCCUCAGCCCCCGUAACCGGGACAGAUCCAGAGUCCGGGGCAGGAGGGAGCCGCUCCCUCCUCGCCGAGAUGACCACACAGCACGCAGCUAACGCCAGGCUCCC
rnacentral:lncRNA from 1 species